CAAAUCAGAAGUUACAAGGUUUAAGGGAAGAAUUGAAUGCGAUUGUCCCAUACUUGGAGGAGAUGAGAAAGAAGAAAGUUGAAAGAUGGGACCAAUUUGUUGAUGUCAUAGAGCAAAUUAAGAAGGUUGCAUCUGAAAUCAGGCCUGCAGAUUUUGUACCCUUUAGAAUUUCUAUGGAUCAGUCUAAUCUGUCUUUAAGAAAGCUAGAGGAGCUAACGAAAGAGCUGCAAUCCCUUCAGAAGGAGAAGGUCCACUUAUAUGAUAUUACAUUGCAAAUAAGACCCGCCAUCUCUGUUGAUUUUGGUGAGUCACUAAUCAAGGCAGCUGUUGCUGAUCCAAAUGGGCAUGAUGUCUAUGUUGGCACAGGAAUAGGGGACCUUUGCUUCCUUCGACAUGAGAAUAGACCUGAAAGAGCAUACGAGACGUGCUCAUUGCAGACCUUAAAGAGCAUAGGAGACAGAACUGGAAGAGCAUAGGAGACGUGCUCAUUUGAUUGGCGAGGAAGGCUAUGCAGCUGAAUUUAGCGAUGAGGCUAUUGAGGCAGGAGCUGUUGAUCCUACGCUGGUGCUGGUACAAAUUGAGGCUCACAUUGCCACAGUGAAAGAGGAAGCUUUUAGCAGGAAGGAUAUUCUCGAGAAGGUUGAAAGAUGGUUGAAUGCAUGUGAGGAGGAUGCUUGGCUGGAAGAUUACAACAAAGAUGACAAUCGUUAUAAUGCCGGGAGGGGGGCCCACUUGACACUCAAAAGGGCUGAGAAAGCUCGUAUUUUGGUUAACAAGAUCCUAGGACUGGUAGAUGUUUUAACCACAAAAAUUGUAGCCUGGGAGGCAGAAAGAGGAAAGGAAUUCACAUACGACGGUGUAAGUUUUCUUAUUCCUGUACUUUUUUUCUUGGAUGUUUAAUUCCUUUCAGAAUCAAGUACAGUCAGGAAGCAGUUCUUUAGGAUCUUCUGGAAUGCUAUACGAAGGAAGCUCGGGUGACAAUGCUCCAUUUGAUAUUAAUGACUUUCCUCAGUUAACUGGACGACCUAAUUCUGCUGGAGGUGGUCAAGGACAAUAUGGAUCACUGAGAAAGCAUGGAGUAAGCGUCAAUGCCAUUGUACAACAAAACCAGGAAUUCAGCAUUCAGAAUGAAGAUUUUCCAGCUUUACCAGGUAAUAAAGGUGUGUGCUCA